rnacentral:rRNA from 1 species
UAGGGAAUAUUGCACAAUGGGGGAAACCCUGAUGCAGCAACGCCGCGUGAGUGAAGAAGGCCCUUGGGUUGUAAAGCUCUUUAGCCUGGAAAGAAGCCGUCGUAGAUUAAUAAUCUGCGGGGGUGACGGUACCAGGAAAAUAAGCACCGGCUAAUUUCGUGCCAGCAGCCGCGGUAAUACGAAAGGUGCAAGCGUUACUCGGAAUCACUGGGCGUAAAGCGCGCGUAGGCGGUCUUGUAUGUCGAUUGUG